AGGAUGAACGCUGGCGGCGUGCCUAAAACAUGCAAGUCAUACGGGUCUACCUUCGGGUAGACAGUGGCAAACGGGUGAGUAACACGUGGGAACACGCCUUCGAGUGGGGAAUAACGCUGAGAAAUCAGUGCUAAUACCGCAUAUGGUCUAACGACUAAAGCAGCAAUGCGCUCGGAGAGUGGCCCGCGUCCGAUUAGCUAGUUGGUGGGGUAAUGGCCUACCAAGGCGGUGAUCGGUAGCUGGUCUGAGAGGAUGGUCAGCCACACUGGGACUGCGAACGGCCCAGACUCCUACGGGAGGCAGCAGUUAGGAAUUUUCGGCAAUGGACGAAAGUCUGACCGAGCGACGCCGCGUGGAGGAUGAAGCCUUUCGGGGUGUAAACUCCUUUUCUGCGGGAAGAUAAUGACGGUACCGCAGGAAUAAGCACCGGCUAACUACGUGCCAGCAGCCGC
rnacentral:rRNA from 1 species